GCUAUAUAUCCACAUGGUUCAUCUAGUUAUCAUACAUAGUUGCUUUCCCCUACAAAAACCAAGUGCAUGGGAAGUCAUUUUCCUGCAAAAAAACACUCAAAAUGUAAUAAGGACAUCACAAGGAAAUUGAUGGCAGUUAGCAAUGGAAUCCGGACUCUCCAGCUCUGAGGGGGACCAGCCAGAGCCUCUGCUCUCCAAGCACAACAAAGUGUCAGAAUCUCCAAAAGCAAAAGCGUUUAGUGAAUAAGUCUUCCCAUGCGUGGCUCGCUUGGCUUGCAAAUGUGGAUGAAAUGGGCUGGCUGGCCAUGAUUUGCCUGAGCAAAGGGUGGAGAUUUUUCAAUUGAUCUUAUUUCUCUCUCUCUCUCUCUCUCCAUUGAAUAUUCCCAUUUCAAUUUAAUUAAUAUGAAUUAAUUUGGCAAUCCAAUAUUAAUAAAAGUUCAGUGUUAGACAAACCUUCAAGCUCUCUAGUUUUAACAACGAAUUAGCUAGGAAAGAUGAAUAUAUGUCUGUCAAGUCAACAUACAAUGAACCAAACAUUGAUAUCGAAUCAUUGAAAAUAGGCUCACGAGUGCUUUUAACAAGAUUUCGAUUAGAUAAGUUAGAUGGCUAUGAUUUUCUCCACUGAUCUCCAACUUUUUGGCCGUCUUUAAUAUACUAAUUAAUUAUAGGUAAAAAGAAAAGAAAAGAAAAAGUAUA